UAAGACAGAGGUGGCAAGCGUUGUUCGGAAUUACUGGGCUUAAAGGGCGCGUAGGCGUCCCGGUAAGUCGGAUGUGGAAGCUCUCCGCUUAACGGGGAAAUUGCAUCCGAAACUGUCGGGAUUGAGUCAGCAAGGGGAUGGCGGAAUUCCAGGUGUAGCGGUGAAAUGCGUAGAUAUCUGGAGGAAGGCCGGUGGCGAAGGCGGCCAUCUGGUGCUGAACUGACGCUGAGGCGCGAAAGCGUGGGGAGCAAACAGGAUUAGAUACCCUGGUAGUCCACGCCCUAAACGGUGGAUACUAGGUGUAGGGCUCGUAAGGGUUCUGUGCCGAAGGGAAACCAUUAAGUAUCCCGCCUGGGAAGUACGGCCGCAAGGUUGAAACUUAAAUGAAUUGACGG
rnacentral:rRNA from 1 species